rnacentral:rRNA from 1 species
UACGAAGGUGGCAAGCGUUACUCGGAAUUACUAGGCGUAAAGGGCAGGUAGGUGGUUUGGUUAGUCUGUUGUGAAAUCCCCAGGCUUAACCUGGGAACUGCUCUCGAGACUGCAUCGCUAGAGUAUGGGAGAGGGAAGUGGAAUUUCAGGUGUAGCGGUGAAAUGCGUAGAUAUCGGGAAGAACACCAGUGGCGAAAGCGGCUCUCUGGGGACCACCUGACGCUGAGGCGCGAAAGCGUGGGGAGCGAACCGGAUUAGAU